CCCUCUCAGAUAACAGCAACACAAAUUUUCCCACUGCUCAGGCCAAAGAAUGUGGAAUCACCCUUGCCUUUUCCCCUUCCUUCGCACCCAGCAUCCAGUCCUUCACAUGAUAUGAAAAAAAUUUGCCAACUCAUGCUCUAGAAGAAUCUUGCCAGCUGUGGAAGUGAUCUGGUAGCUUGGAAUUAAGUUCAACAGCUCAAUUCAACAGACAUUCACUGAACUGGACUGCGUACCAGAUGCCAGAGUUGGAAGUGAAGAAAGUAGGCAAGGAGAGACAUUUGUCAUUUCAUGAAGAGCCGCAGUAGUGCUCUGGGAGGCAAGUUACUAAAACCUGACCAACCUGCGAGAAAGCAUUUUUGAGCUGCAUGCUAGAAGGAGACAAAAACUGGACAUGAGGAAAUAUGGAAGACGUCCGUGUAUUUCUAUAAAAUACAUCUUG